rnacentral:rRNA from 1 species
CAGCAGCCGCGGUAAUACGAAGGGUGCAAGCGUUAAUCGGAAUUACUGGGCGUAAAGCGUGCGUAGGCGGUGAGUUAAGUCUGCUGUGAAAUCCCCGGGCUCAACCUGGGAAUGGCAGUGGAUACUGGCUCGCUAGAGUGUGUCAGAGGAUGGUGGAAUUCCCGGUGUAGCGGUGAAAUGCGUAGAGAUCGGGAGGAACAUCAGUGGCGAAGGCGGCCAUCUGGGACAACACUGACGCUGAGGCACGAAAGCGUGGGGAGCAAACAGGAUUAGAUACCCAGUAGUCCCUGUCUCUUAUACA